CGCAAGGUGGCCGAGAGGUCAAGGCGAUGGACUGCUAUUCCAUUGGGCUCUGCCCGCGUGGGUUCGAAUCCCAUCCUCGUUGA